rnacentral:rRNA from 1 species
GACGAACGCUGGCGGCGCGCCUAACACAUGCAAGUCGAACGAGCGAGAGAGAGCUUGCUUUCUCAAGCGAGUGGCGAACGGGUGAGUAACGCGUGAGGAACCUGCCUCAAAGAGGGGGACAACAGUUGGAAACGACUGCUAAUACCGCAUAAGCCCUCAGGUCGGCCUCGACCCGAGGGAAAAGGAGCAAUCCGCUUUGAGAUGGCCUCGCGUCCGAUUAGCUAGUUGGUGAGGUAACGGCCCACCAAGGCAACGAUCGGUAGCCGGACAGAGAGGUUGAACGGCCACAUUGGGACUGAGACACAGCCCAGACUCCUACGGGAUGCAGCAGUGGGGAAUAUUGCACAAUGGGGGAAAUCCUGAUGCAGCGACGCCGCGUGGAGGAAGAAAGUCUUCGGAUUGUAAACUCCUGUUGUUGAGGAAGAUAAUGACGGUACUCAACAAGGAAGUGACGGCUAACUACGUG